AACAUAGGCACCACAGGAUUUGACUUCUCUUGUCCAAUAGCUCUGCAAUGGAUCAUUACUCAUGCAGUAUUUCCCACGGUAUCUCAUUUUGGAGAGGAAAAUGGUUCAAGAAGGAUUGUACAGCCAAAGGCACAUUUUGGGAAAUGUAAUGUCUACCUGGAUAGCCUGGAAAUGGAAAAGAAUAAAGACACAAGACAUCUGUUCUGCAGCACCACUAAGGAACGGCAGUAACACGUACCCUGAAAUACUGGAUUCUUGGCCAACUCUUUGUCCCAUGCUUUCAUUUUUAGGCUCUCAGCUUUCCAAAGAACAAUAUGUAUUUUGUGUGGGAAAGCCCGCUCUUUCAAGAAGAAGAAAGGAUCUUAAUUUCAAGUCUUGACAGAUUUUUUCAGCUAACCUUAGAAAAUCUGAAUUAUACCUAUCAUCAAAAUCCACGUCUCCUUCACUGCUUCUGUGGGAUUUGUUUUUGUUUGUUUGUUUGUUUGUUUUUGUUGGUUUAUUUUGUUUAUUUUAUCUUGGUUUUGGUUCUAAGUCAAUUUCUGUCAAUUUCCAGUAUGUCACUGGAUCAUACUGUAGAAGGAACUUGCUGAGAUAAGGAUAGGGUAUAUAUUAAAUGGAGGGUUUGUCUUCAAUGCAAUGGCAAAGGGUUAUAGCUGUAGACCAAGUCUAUCAUAUUUCUUAGUGAGAUGGAAGAUGUAAGGAUUUAAUGUUUAUUGAUUUUUAAAAAGCUCGGGGACUUUGAUUAGCACUGGUUUACUGGCAAUUAGACAUUUAGGCUAGGCUGACUGUGCAAGCUUCUCUCAUAGUUAACAGGAAGGAUCCUUAUGAAGGAGAUUUUCCUUACCUUCUCAGGUAUCUCUUUAAGACAUCUAGGUCAAAUAGGCUGUUUCAAGAGCCAUUCAGGCCCAUUCAACGGUGGAGGGCAUCGGGAAACUUUCUGUGUAUGAAACACUUCAGUAUUUCCUUCAGUCAAAAAAGCUUCAACGUUAAUGUUUUGCAUAUAGAACAUGGUGGUGCAUUUCUCCAAUGUCAGAUAAUCGCAGCUCUCUCUCACACAUCCUGUACAGAUAAUUUCUGAAUAUGUGAUCAGCUAUAUCUGCUAUUUUAGGCUUUCUUCAAUAAAUAUCCAGUUGACAGUUUCACCUGAUCUAUAUACACACAGCUACAAUUUAAAUAAGCACACCUGCAUUUUAUAUUUUGGGUGAUAUCUACAAAAGUGUUGCCCCUAGCUUGUUUUUAGCAGUUUAAAAUUAAAAUUUAUCCAGUGCAAAUCUCCAUAAUUGGCCUGGGGAUUCUUUAAGAUAAGGUUACUGAGAGAACCUUACCUUGGAAUGCUGAACAUGUUGCUUCAUCACAGCUGCUCCUUUAGGUUCAUCAGUACUGUUUCUCAUCCCUGUCUUAGAAGAGCAUCUCAGCAAGUAUCAAGUGUUCGAGGUAUAGUUUCAGGAUCAACAGACUCCCUUUCCUUCAGUAUUUUCUUACAUGGUCAGUCACCUCUGUGAAUAUUCUGGCUACAGAAGACAUUCACUAAUACACUACCCAAAAGCAAAUCCAAAUUCACUCAAAGAGGAUGAGUUUUCAGUGCUGAGUGGUGGACAGUCUGCUCCUAACACUUUCCCUUUCAGUUGUUGAUUUCAGUUUUUGAGAUUCACGGCUUAGUUCUCCUGGGAGCCAAAUUCAUAGAUACAUUAUAUGCAAGAAGCAGAGAACAGGGAAUGGCUUGUCUGCUAAUAUAAACACAGCUGUGUAUGCUAAGUGGCACGUAAUUGUUUAUAUCCAUAUUUGGGCUAUCAUACAGCAGACAAAAUAAAUAAAAUCUCAAAUCAAAAGAAAAGAAUAGGUGUUGUU
ensembl:lncRNA